rnacentral:rRNA from 1 species
UACAGGGGGUGCAAACGUUGCUCGGAAUCAUUGGGCGUAAAGGGCGCGUAGGUGGUUCUGUAUGUCUACCGUGAAAGCGUACGGCUCAACUGUAUUUUUGUCGGUAGAAACUGCAGGACUUUGAGGCUGGGAGGGGCUGGUGGAAUUCCCUGUGUAGCGGUGAAAUGCGUAGAGAUGGGGGGAGAACACUCGUGGCGAAGGCGGCCAGCUAGACCAGUUCUGACACUGAGGCGCGACAGCGUGGGGAGCAAACAGG